UAGGGAAUAUUAGAAAUGGACGAAAGUCUGAUCUAGCGACACCGCGUGUGCGAUGAAGGCCUUCGGGUUGUAAAGCACUUUUUGGAAGGAAUAGGAAGGAAGGUACUUCCAGAAUAAGUCUCGGCUAACUACGUGCCAGCAGCCGCGGUAACACGUAGGAGGCAAACGUUAUCCGGAUUUACUGGGCGUAAAGCGCGUGUAGGUGGUUCUGUAAGUAGGGCGUGAAAGCUCCCGGCUCAACUGGGAGAGGCCGUUCUAAACUGCAGAGCUAGAGGAUGGUAGAGGGAGGUGGAAUUCCAGGUGUAGCGGUGGAAUGCGCAGAUAUCUGGAGGAACACCAGUGGCGAAGGCGGCCUCCUGGACCAUUCCUGACACUCAGACGCGAAAGCUAGGGUAGCAAACG
rnacentral:rRNA from 1 species